rnacentral:lncRNA from 1 species
CGAAGUGCUUAAUUUGGCUACCUUUACAUUGAUAAAAGAGGGGAGAUUAAUACCAGAGGAACAGUCAAACUAAUAAAUCGAAAAAUAAACUGAAAACGCCAUGGCUUAGAAGGAAAACGACAAACAGACAAAUCAUAGUACACAAGAAACAAAAUAGAAAAUAAAAAAUGAGCAACACGAACCCUACCAAAAAAUGGGGAUGAUUUCAGGUGCUAUGGAAGGGUAGGCAGAUCCUGCUCCACAUGUGGCACCCGUAGUUUUGAUGAUAUUAGUACAAACC